rfam:Rattus norvegicus chromosome 20, whole genome shotgun sequence.
GGGGAUUUAGCUCAGUGGUAGAGCACUUGCCUAGCAAGCACAAGGCCCUGGGUUCGGUCCCCAGCUCUG